rnacentral:rRNA from 1 species
GACGAACGCUGGCGGCGUGCUUAACACAUGCAAGUCGAGCGGUAAGGCCUUUCGUGGGACACGAGCGGCGAACGGGUGCGGAACACUUGGGUGAUCUUCCCUGCACUUCGGGAUAAGGCUGGCAAACUGGGUCUAGUACUGAUUAUGACCUCGAACCGCAUGUUCGGUGGGGGGAUGAUUAAUCGGUGGAGGAUGGGCGCGCGGCCUAUCAGCUUGUGGUUGGGGUAGUGGCCUACCAAGGCCACGACGGGUAGCCGACCUGAGAGGGUGACCGGCCACACUGGGACUGAGACACGGCCCAGACUCCUACGGGAGGCAGCAGUGGGGAAUAUUGCACAAUGGGCGGAAGCCUGAUGCAGCGACGCCGCGUGAGGGAUGACGGCCUUCGGGUUGUAAACCUCUUUCACCAGUGACGAAGCGGAAGUGACGGUAACUGCAAAAGAAGCACCGGCUAACUACGUG